rnacentral:sRNA from 1 species
UCCAAACCUUUGUGAACAUACCUACGUUGCUUCGGCGGCCUCGCCCCGGGCGUCGCGGUGCCCUAACGGGAGCCGCAGCGGCCGGACCCAGGCGACCGCCGGGGGACCCAAACUCUUGUUUUUACAGUGAAUUCUGAGUGGCAUAAGCAAAAUAAUCAAAACUUUCAGCAACGGAUCUCUUGGUUCUGGCAUCGAUGAAGAACGCAGCGAAAUGCGAUAAGUAAUGUGAAUUGCAGAAUUCAGUGAAUCAUCGAAUCUUUGAACGCACAUUGCGCCCGCCAGUACUCUGGCGGGCAUGCCUGUCCGAGCGUCAUUUCAACCCUCAGCACCCGCCUUCGCGGCGGGAGCUGGCGUUGGGGAUCGGCCGCCCUCAGCGGCGGCCGGCCCCGAAACGAAGUGGCGGCCGCGUCGCGACCUCCUCUGCGCAGUAGCGAUACCUCGCAGCCUGGAUAGCGGUGCGGCCACGCCGUAAAACCCCAACUUUACCAAGGUUGACCUCGGAUCAGGUAGGAAUACCCGCUGAACUUAAGCAUAUCAAUAAGCGGAGGAAAAGAAACCAACAGGGAUUGCCUCAGUAACGGCGAGUGAAGCGGCAACAGCUCAAAUUUGAAAUCUGGCCCCCAGGCCCGAGUUGUAAUUUGUAGAGGAUGCUUCUGGCGACGCGACUUCCGAGUUCCCUGGAACGGGACGCCAAAGAGGGUGAGAGCCCCGUCCGGUCGUUCGCCUAGCCUCUGUGAAGCUCCUUCGACGAGUCGAGUAGUUUGGGAAUGCUGCUCUAAAUGGGAGGUAUACGUCUUCUAAAGCUAAAUACCGGCCAGAGACCGAUAGCGCACAAGUAGAGUGAUCGAAAGAUGAAAAGCACUUUGAAAAGAGGGU